GCCUAAUACAUGCAGUCGAGCGAACAGAUGAGAAGCUUGCUUCUCUGAUGUUAGCGGCGGACGGGUGAGUAACACGUGGGUAACCUACCUAUAAGACUGGGAUAACUCCGGGAAACCGGGGCUAAUACCGGAUAAUAUUUUGAACCGCAUGGUUCGAUAGUGAAAGACGGUUUCGGCUGUCACUUAUAGAUGGACCCGCGCCGUAUUAGCUAGUUGGUAAGGUAAUGGCUUACCAAGGCGACGAUACGUAGCCGACCUGAGAGGGUGAUCGGCCACACUGGGACUGAGACACGGCCCAGACUCCUACGGGAGGCAGCAGUAGGGAAUCUUCCGCAAUGGGCGAAAGCCUGACGGAGCAACGCCGCGUGAGUGAUGAAGGUUUUCGGAUCGUAAAACUCUGUUGUUAGGGAAGAACAAAUUUGUUAGUAACUGAACAAGUCUUGACGGUACCUAACCAGAAAGCCACGGCUAACUACGUGCCAGCAGCCGCGGUAAUACGUAGGUGGCAAGCGUUAUCCGGAAUUAUUGGGCGUAAAGCGCGCGUAGGCGGUUUCUUAAGUCUGAUGUGAAAGCCCACGGCUCAACCGUGGAGGGUCAUUGGAAACUGGGGAACUUGAGUGCAGAAGAGGAGAGUGGAAUUCCAUGUGUAGCGGUGAAAUGCGCAGAGAUAUGGAGGAACACCAGUGGCGAAGGCGGCUCUCUGGUCUGUAACUGACGCUGAGGUGCGAAAGCGUGGGGAUCAAACAGGAUUAGAUACCCUGGUAGUCCACGCCGUAAACGAUGAGUGCUAAGUGUUAGGGGGUUUCCGCCCCUUAGUGCUGCAGCUAACGCAUUAAGCACUCCGCCUGGGGGAGUACGACCGCAAGGUUGAAACUCAAAGGAAUUGACGGGGGACCCGCACAAGCGGUGGAGCAUGGUGGUUUAAUUCGAAGCAACGCGAAGAACCUUACCAAAUCUUUGACAUCCUUUGAUCGCUCUAGAAGAAAGAGUUUUCCCCUUCCGGGGACAAAGUGACAGGUGGUGCAUGGUUGUCGUCAGCUCGUGUCGUGAGAUGUUGGGUUAAGUCCCGCAACGAGCGCAACCCUUAAGCUUAGUUGCCAUCAUUAAGUUGGGCACUCUAGGUUGACUGCCGGUGACAAACCGGAGGAAGGUGGGGAUGACGUCAAAUCAUCAUGCCCCUUAUGAUUUGGGCUACACACGUGCUACAAUGGAUAAUACAAAGGGCAGCGAACCCGCGAGGUCAAGCAAAUCCCAUAAAAUUAUUCUCAGUUCGGAUUGUAGUCUGCAACUCGACUACAUGAAGCUGGAAUCGCUAGUAAUCGUAGAUCAGCAUGCUACGGUGAAUACGUUCCCGGGUCUUGUACACACCGCCCGUCACACCACGAGAGUUUGUAACACCCGAAGCCGGUGGAGUAACCUUUAUAGGAGCUAGCCGUCGAAGGUGGACAG
rnacentral:rRNA from 2 species